AGCAUGAGUGAAACACACGAUCCCCAUCCCGAAUUUA
rnacentral:rRNA from 1 species